ACCUCUUCGCCAUGAUAUCAGACAACAUCCCUCCUCCAGGCCUGGAAAACAAGUUUGCUAAACCAAAACUAGCUGCAAUAAUCCCAGCUGUAUGAAGAUUCACAUUAAACCUAUCGAAAAAAUACUGCGCAAUUAUAUUAUCCACAGUAAGUUCAACACCAAAACAAUAACCAUAAGUCAAUGCCAAAAUCCACCCUCUAUAAUUUGUAACUGCAUGAUAUAACACAUCUCUCAUGUUAUCCUUAUGCUUUUCACCAGAUUUAUGAAGUUUCGCGUAAUCUCCAUCGGGCAUAUCUUGUCCUAAAAAGAAAACAGCAUACGCAGUCAAAGCCUGAAACAGAGCAGGUAUAAAAAACGCAAUUCUCCAAGCUGUAAACUGAUUUGCACCAAUUUUAUGUAUAAGCGAAAACACUAAAGGCAUAAUUAACUGUGUAGCUCCGCCACCAAGAUUCCCCCAUCCUCCGGCUAUACCAUUUGCAGUGCCAACUACGUUAGCAGAGAACAUCGAACUCAUCCAAAAUUGAGUCGAUACAAAAGUAGCUAAUGAAAACCCCGUGAAGAAACGAACGAGAAGGAAAGAUAAUG
rnacentral:lncRNA from 1 species